GCGUUUAGCUCAGCUGGUUUAGAGCAUCUGCCUUACAAGCAGAGGGUCGGCGGUUCGAAUCCGUCAACGCC
rnacentral:tRNA from 31 species